CCCUUAGAUGCUCUGGGCCGCACGCGCGCUACACUGGUCGAUGCAACGAGUUUCUUUCCUUGGCCGACAGGCCUGGGCAAUCUUUGAACAUCGAUCGUGAUCGGGAUAGAUUCUUGUAAUUUUUGAUCUUAAACGAGGAAUUCCUAGUAAACGCAAGUCAUCAGCUUGCAUUGAUUACGUCCCUGCCCUUUGUACACACCGCCCGUCGCACCUACCGAUUGAAUGGUCCGGUGAGGAUUCAGGACUUGAGAUUCAUUUCUGCUGCGGUUCUGCUGUAGUGGAAACUCUCGGGGAAUUUAUUCAAAUCUUAACAUUUAGAGGAAGGAGAAGUCGUAACA
rnacentral:rRNA from 1 species